rnacentral:rRNA from 1 species
UCUAAUACCGGAUACAACCACUGACCGCAUGGCCGGGUGGUGGAAAGCUCCGGCGGUGCAGGAUGAGCCCGCGGCCUAUCAGCUUGUUGGUGAGGUAAUGGCUCACCAAGGCGACGACGGG